GGUGAAUGGUGGGUCGACGUUGAAUCUCAGGUCAUCAUCGGGCCACUUCGGGGCUUAUAGUGCGUCGAUCCAUUAUUGCAUCUCCUAGAGCCUCCUCUCCAGAUCAUCCUCCUGGGCUGGGCGGUGCUGAGGAGAAAGAUCCGGAGUCGAGUCUCUUCUCGAGAUCGGGGUAGGUGAUCGCCUAGGUCUGUGGCGGAGUGCACUAUCAGGGCG
rnacentral:lncRNA from 1 species